GCGCUGGCGAGGUGAGAGCUCCAAACUUGAAGCGGCGCCACGGCCAAGGUGUCCUCUGUCGCCAUUGCAGGAGCUGCGAGGGUGCGCGAAUCCGAAUGGUGGCUGAUUGGUGAACCUAGAGCACCCUUUGCCCCAGGUUCUAGCUCUGGCCCGGUUUUUUCUCUUUACAUUUAAGCUGUAGGCAGAGGAAAUCCUCGUUAGAGGCCUUCUCCCCACCCCGCUUCUCAGCCACAAACUGUUGUUUCAUUAGGAAUCUCACCAGAAACCCGUUUUCAGGUGAAGGCCGAGUACUCAGCCCCUUGUGGUGCCUGGUUUUACUUGAUCACAUUGUAAUUCCAUCCUAGGAACCACUCUAUAAGUUCACUUAACAGAGAGAAGUGGAGUGGUUCUUAGCAACCUUUUGCGAUGUAACUUAACCACCAAAGAGAUAUCUGGCUAAUAUGGCAGCUCUCGAGAAGUCCGUAUUUACACGUUGCGGGGAUAACGAUAGGCCUUCAUGCUGGUCCUGAGCUUUUACCGUGAUGCUUCCCCCGUUGCCCUCUGUUUGGAUGUCCAUUCCCACCUUUGGCCUGGGUUCCACUAAGUUAAAGCCAGAAAGAGGGGGAAAGCGACACCAAGAAUCCAUUCCAAACGAAAAACCAAGAGGAGACGCGGCAGCUCCUAGAUGUUGAUGUUUUGUUUUUUUGACAUAAAUCUUCGCACUCAUAUGGGAGUUUUCAUUGAUUCGUGUUCCCAUCUGCUGAAUUUCCUUUUAUUUAUUUAAUAUUGCUUUUUGGGGAAAUCUUGCUUCGAAGCUCUGGAGAAGCAUAAACCGUGGCAACCACUGCAGCCCUCCUCCCUCUUGCAAGCCUUGGCUGCUGGGGGCAGGGAGAUGCGGUGGCGUCCUGCGGAGUGGGUGCUGGGCAUCCUCCAGGAGGGGCUGGCGCUGCAGGCCUGCGCUAAUGUGGCAAUUCUGUCUUCCGAGCCUUCCAGAGGCAGGGGGAGAGGUAGAGUGAGGAAGGGAGGAAGAGAGGGGCAGACUGGCUGACUGUUCUUCGUGCUUCCUGCUCAUCCCCAACACUUCAUACGUCCCUUUCGCACUAAUGUACACUUUGCUUUUGACACCAUGGAUAGUAGGAAACGUCUAACAGUGGGCAUCUAUAUUAAUAAGAUUGUACAUCUCACCGUCCAAUCAGUACCCUUCCACCUCAAUAGUGAUCCAUCAGUAAUUACAGACUCCAACUCUGGAAUCAGACUGAAUCUUGACGACUUUCCAGAGG
rnacentral:lncRNA from 1 species